rnacentral:lncRNA from 1 species
CUCCAUCUCUAACCCCUCCCCCAUCUCUAACUCCACCCUCCAUCUCUAACCCCGCCCCCCAUCUCUAAACCCCGCCCUCCAUCUCUAACCCCUCCCCUGUACCAUGUCACCCUUAGUGGGCCACCAGCAGUUUGCAUGUAAAUGAUGAUCAGAAAAUAGAUCCGUAAAACAUGUUAUUUAUCAGUAGAGAGGAGCUUCCUGUUUCGAUCUCACUAUGGGAACAGAAGAGACUUUUUUGAUUGGAUGAUGAGACAACAUUUGUUUACUAGGGAAGUUAAACAGCCUGGCGUCCGUCUGACUGACCCCCCCCCCCCAGGUCAACUAGUUUGACCCCUGAACUUUAGGCGUCUCCAGCUAUAGAAUCUCCUGUCUUAUUUAUAAUUGAUUUAGAGACGGGUGCUUUUCUCUAUUACCACAGUAGUCAAUACGAUUUGGUAGAAAAUAUUUAUAAUAUUUGAAGAGUUUUGGACAGAUGAAUUUGGAUCCUCAGAUAUUUGUGUGUGUUUUUUUUUAAUGAGGAAUCGUUUUUUGGACUAUUUGCAUGUUGCUGAGAAAAAUAUAUAUAUUUAAAAAUAUAUUUAAAAAUAUAUUUAAAAAAUGUUUUUUUUUUUUUUUUACAUUCUUUUGAUAAAUUAAAAUUUCCAGAUGUUUCCGAUGUUUGUAGACUGUCUAACUAAAUGUACCGGGCUCAGUUUGGUUUGUACGAGGGCUGUAAUACCGAUUUAAACAUGAUUUAUUAUUGUCCGAUAUAAAAUGUGCUGGUUGGCUAGGUGUGUAUCUACUGAGACCGUUGGUCCGAUACUGUCCAAGCUGUCACAGAGAGGGGAACCAUGGAAACAGGUUCUGGGUGCUGUUUAUCUCAGAAUACCCAGGAGUCAGAUGUUGAGCGCUUGACUUUCCUCCCGUUGCUCCCCACCUGAUCAAUCCACUCGUUACCAAAGCCUACAAGUUAUUUCCAGAGAACCUGAUGUAUAUUAUAACUCAGUAUGAACCCUAAUAAAGCUUUAUACCUGAUGGAUGAUGAUGAUGAUGGAUCUCUGGCAUUGAGGUGAAUCUGUUGCUCCGAUCUGAUAAAAGACUCAUUAUAAAAGAGACUGAGUGUUUUUAAAAACCGCACCAGCAUGCUUCAGGACGUUCUAGAAUCAGGCUUCAGGAAGUUCUAGAACAAGGUUUGAGGAUGUUGUAGAACCAGGCUUCAGGACGUUCUAGAAUCAGGCUUCAGGAAGUUCUAGAACCAGGCUUCAGGAAGUUCUAGAACAAGGUUUGAGGAUGUUGUAGAACCAGGCUUCAGGACGUUCUAGAACCAGGUUUGAGGAUGUUGUAGAACCAGGCUUCAGGAUGAUCUAGAACUAGGCUUAAGGAAGUUCUAGAACCAGGCUUCAGGACGUUAUAGAACCAGGUUUGAGGAUGUUGUAGAACCAGGCUUCAGGAUGAUCUAGAACCAGGCUAAAGGAUGUUCUAGAACCAGGCUUGAGGAUGUUGUAGAACCAGGCUUCAGGAUGUUGUAGAACCAGGCUUCAGGACGUUGUAGAACCAGGCUUCAGGACGUUGUAGAACCGGGCUUCAGGACGUUGUAGAACCAGGCUUUAGGACGUUCUAGAACCAGGCUUCAGGAAGUUCUACAACCAGGCUUCAGGACGUUAUAGAACCAGGCUUCAGGAUGUUCUAGAACCAGGCUAAAGGAUGUUCUAGAACCAGGCUUGAGGAUGUUGUAGAACCAGGCUUCAGGAUGUUCUAGAACCAGACUUCAGGAUGUUGUAGAACCAGGCUUCAGGACGUUCUAGAACCAGGCUUCAGGAUGUUGUAGAACCAGGCUUCAGGACGUUCUAGAACCAGGCUUCAGGAUGUUCUAGAACCAGGCUUCAGGAAGUUCUAGAACCAGGCUUCAGGAAGUUCUAGAACCAGGCUUCAGGACGUUCUAGAACCAGGCUUCAGGACGUUUAAGCUGUGAUGGAACCUGACCUUCAAUCUAUCAGAAACCUUGUCGUUUUAACUCUUGAGAGACUGGAGGAAGAGGAGGAGGAGGAGGAAGAGGAGGAAGAGAAGGGUGUGUUUUCUAGCUGUCAAUAGACAAGCUAACUGUCUGCAAUAAUUUCCCUCUGAUGCUCCCAGAACUGAGAGAGAGGGUUUCCAAGGCUGGUAUACAACUGUACUUUUGACAUUGUUUUUUAAUUGCUGAUUAUUAUAAUGAUCAAACAUUAUCCUGAAGGAUGUUCCCC